rnacentral:rRNA from 1 species
UACAGAGGUCCCAAGCGUUGUUCGGAUUCAUUGGGCGUAAAGGGUGCGUAGGCGGCGCGGUAAGUCGGGUGUGAAAUCUCGGGGCUUAACUCCGAAACUGCAUUCGAUACUGCCGUGCUUGAGGACUGGAGAGGAGACUGGAAUUUACGGUGUAGCGGUGAAAUGCGUAGAUAUCGUAAGGAAGACCGGUGGCGAAGGCGGGUCUCUGGACAGUUCCUGACGCUGAGGCACGAAGGUCAGGGGAGCAAACGGGG